rnacentral:lncRNA from 1 species
AUGAUUCUGAAUUCAGAUCUCAUUUUUUGGUAUUUAGGAUUUCAUGGUGCAUCUGUAGAGGAAAGGCGCCCUGUGGGGGAUGCUCCAGAAGAAUGGGGGGUGGUUGGCUUUUUGUUAAGGGCCAUUCAGUCUCUUUACCAGAGGAGCAUGAGUUUGGUCCACAUAGCUGGUAGUAAGUCGGACCUGUUCCCGGUGAGGGUUGGACUCCGCCAGGGCUGCCCUUUGUCACCGGUUCUGUUCAUUACCUUUAUGGACAGAAUUUCUAAGCGCAGUCGUGGUGUGGAGGGUGUCGAGUUUGGUGGCAGGAGAAUCUCGUCUCUGCUUUUUGCGGAUGAUGUGGUCCUCCUAGCUUCAUCCAGCUCUGACCUUCAGCUCUUGCUGGGUAGGUUCGCGGCCGAGUGUGAAGCGGCUGGGAUGAGGAUCAGCACCUCCAAAUCUGAGACCAUGGUUCUCGACCGGAAAAGGGUGGCUUGCCAACUCCGGGUCGGGGGAGAGGUCCUACCUCAAGUGGAGGAGUUUAAGUAUCUCGGGGUCUUGUUCACGAGUGAGGGUAGGAGGGAUCGGGAGAUCGACAGGCGGAUUGGUUCGGCGUCUGCAGUGAUGCGGACGCUGAGCCGAUCUGUCGUGGUGAAGAGGGAGCUGAGCCAGAAAGCCAGGCUCUCGAUUUACCGGUCGAUCUACGUCCCAAUCCUCACCUAUGGUCAUGAGCUUUGGGUAAUGACCGAAAGAACGAGAUCGCAGAUUCAAGCGGCCGAAAUGACUUUCCUCCGUAGGGUGGCCAGGCUCAGCCUUAGAGAUAGGGUGAGGAGCUUGGACAUUCGGGAGGGACUCAGAGUAGAAACGCUGCUCCUCCUGAUCGAAAGGAGCCAGUUGAAGUGGUUUGGGCAUCUGGUCAGGAUGCCUCCUGGACGCCUCCCUGGGGAGGUGUUUCGGGCAUGUCCUGCCGGCAGGAGGCCCCCGGGUCGACCCGGGACACGUUGGAGAGGUUACAUCUCCAAUCUGGUCCAGGAACGCCUUGGGGUCCUGUCGGAGGAGCUGGUGGAGGUGGCUGGGGAGAGGACGGUCUGGAGCUCCCUAGUUGGGAUGCUGGGAUGCUACCCGGAUAAGCGGAGGAAGACGACGACGAUCUGUAGAGGAAAGUGUGUCUAG